CCUACGGGAGGCAGCAGUGGGGAAUAUUGGACAAUGGGCGAAAGCCUGAUCCAGCAAUGCCGCGUGAGUGAUGAAGGCCCUAGGGUUGUAAAGCUCUUUUACCCGGGAUGAUAAUGACAGUACCGGGAGAAUAAGCUCCGGCUAACUCCGUGC
rnacentral:rRNA from 1 species